rnacentral:lncRNA from 1 species
GUGGCUUCCAAGAGAAGCUUGUAGAGGCUAUUGUGUAGACACUUAGUGUGUGAAGGGAGCAGCAAUUUUCAGAUUAAAAAAAAACACACACACACAAAAGAGAGAGGAAACUAAAGAGUUCCAAAGGGUGUUGUCCUGCUCGUUUUUCUCAGCACCAGUCCUAGUGUUUUGGUCGCCGGAGAAGAUCCCACCGUUGGAUUUUGCUGAAAUUUUGUCAGCUUGUUGAGGACAUACGGGGCUACAUUCUGACUGUUCGGAUCGUCAAUUGGAGCUCCGGUUCAUCAGAAAUUAUCUCUGGACGGAGCUGCUGUUUUUGGGUGAAUUCUACACUUUUUGUUCUCUAUUUCAAUUCUCUUAUUGUUGGUGUUUGUUGGUGGGUUGUGAAUCCUUUGUAG